UACGUAGGGUGCAAGCGUUGUCCGGAAUUAUUGGGCGUAAAGAGCUCGUAGGCGGUUUGUCGCGUCUGGUGUGAAAAUCCAGGGCUUAACCCUGGACCUGCAUCGGGUACGGGCAGACUAGAGUGCGGUAGGGGAGAUCGGAAUUCCUGGUGUAGCCGUGAAAUGCGCAGAUAUCAGGAGGAACACCGGUGGCGAAGGCGGAUCUCUGGGCCGUAACUGACGCUGAGGAGCGAAAGCAUGGGGAGCGAACAGG
rnacentral:rRNA from 1 species